AGAUUGAAACAGUUGAUCAUACAAUUUUUUUUAAUUGUAAACAAACAUUAAGAAAAUAAAAAAAAUAAAAAAUACAUAUGAUCAAUCUCAAGAUUCAACAAUAAAAUUUUAGAUAAAUGUCUUCAUUUUUUCCACCGACAUAACCACCAACUUUUAUAUGAUCACCCACUUCAAGUCUCCUUGAAGCAACAAAUGUCGCCACCGAUCUUAAAAUGCUUAUAUGGAAAAUAGUCAUAUAUCACCACACAGUUCCACAUGUUUCCACAAUCAACUAAAUUAACUGUGGUUGAUGUUUUAUCCAAAGCCUUCUCACCAAACUUUUCAUACGGCAGGAUCUAUAAAAUGAUAAAUUGUAUUAG
rnacentral:lncRNA from 1 species